AAUCAAAACAAUUGUAGACCAACAGAUGCCGUCAAGAUUUCCAUUAGCUUGACUGCGUCAACUCGCAUAUGACAGGAAAGAUGAAACUGUAAUUGGAGUCGUUACGAUAAGGGGUUUUAAGGGAGAAGGAGAAAGGCAUGUGCAUCGAGGAGGUCAGUGAUAAAGGUCCAGUCUGAAGAAACCAUCAACACACAGGGACUCUGUUUUCAGGUUGAGAUCUAUGAGGAUAACGAUAAUGCAGGCGAGCAAGGACGAGUUUGCGGCUCUGCUCUCGGAUCGAUGACCAAUAUGUGUUCACUGCAUUUUAUCAUAGAUUGAAACGUACGGAUCCAUGAGUACCAUAGGAGACAUCCAGCUGCACGACUAGUUGUUGAUGCCAAUGAGGAACAUGAAGCACUGCUCAAACAGGAGCCUCAAGUGGAGAGAUGAAUGAUUGAUUCGCCUUCAGUGAGAUUGGAACUUAUCACUUGCCUUCAGACGAUUGAUAGCAACAACUAUCCUGAGACUUUGAAUUGUAUGUUUAUCAUCAAUGCUGGUUCUGGUUUUAGAAUGUUGUGGAGCACUGUGAAGCCCUUCCUUGGUCCCAAGACAACUGAAAAGAUUAAUGUCCUUGGUGACAAGAGCAAGAUACUUCAAAUAAUUGAUGCUAGAUUGCUAUAACACCGCCCUAGUUUGCCACAGAUGACUUUUCUUGGCAUGUCACCCUCGCUUGUGGCUGCGAGUUGAGCGAUCCAUUGGAGCCUGGCGUCUUCCCCAGUAUUGAGACAGCGGUUGCUGCCGCAAGGCUUGGCGUCACCAUUCUAAUUUCAGCAGGGGGAAAGCAUCUUGCUUCUGAUACUUAAAUAGAAAAGCCACUUUGCCUGGUUAAAUGUAUACUGGACACUGCUUGCUCAAAGUUCCGUUCAUGGAGCAAUGGCAGGGUUCACAAGCUUUUUAGUUAGCCUAUUACUGAGAGCCAGAACUAGGUUGUGAUUACCGAUAGGAUCUGGGCCACAACUCCUUUCUUGAACCCAAAGAUGUUGAUGAAGUCCAAAAAGAUGAAGAGCCUCCAAAUCAACUGCUAGACAGGGAAAGUUGUACAGCUAGCAAGUACUGAAGACAUUCCUGACAUGACAUGAAAACACAAGACUGUUUUAUUCGAAACCUUUUGUUAGAAUCAUAAGUAUUCAGACCUUUGGUUGAUGCCCUACUGACCCAGAAUGUUGAUGGGAAUUCACAUUUUUGACUGCCAGUAUCAUCUGUGGAGCAUAAUUGUUUGCUGUUGUAUCAGAUGAAUUCAAUUCACCAUGCCCUACCGAAGAGAUUUCUGCUUAAAGUGUUCAUUUGGUAGAAGCAAAACUAGCAUAUGUGAAUGGGAUUAGCAGAGUCUAAUCAAGCUCCACCCUUGUACGAGUUUGUAAUUACUUAGGUCAUUGCAUAUUUUUGACGAGUGCUGCUACUGGCCAUUUGUUCUGUUGGAUAGUUUUGGGUGUUUAGCAGUAGAUAGUAGUUUGGAUGUUUAACAGGAGCUAAUAUGCCAUCUGUUUUGUUUCAUCUUUAUGCUUUCAUUUUAAAAUUGAGUUAAGUAGAUUCAUCUUUUACA